rnacentral:rRNA from 1 species
UCCUACGGGAGGCAGCAGUGGGGAAUAUUGGACAAUGGGCGCAAGCCUGAUCCAGCAAUGCCGCGUGUGUGAAGAAGGCCUUCGGGUUGUAAAGCACUUUUAUCAGGAGCGAAAUCUGCAAGGUUAAUACCUUUGCAGUCUGACGGUACCUGAGGAAUAAGCACCGGCUAACUCCGUGCCAGCAGCCGCGGUAAUACGGAGGGUGCAAGCGUUAAUCGGAAUUACUGGGCGUAAAGCGUGCGUAGGCGGUUGGUUAAGUCUGCUGUGAAAGCCCCGGGCUCAACCUGGGAAUGGCAGUGGAUACUGGCUAGCUAGAGUGUGAUAGAGGAUGGUGGAAUUCCCGGUAUAGCGGUGAUAUACGUAGAGAUCGGGAGGAACAUCAGUGGCGAAGG